GACGAACGCUGGCGGCGUGCUUAACACAUGCAAGUCGAACGGUGAAGCGCCUUCCUUUUUGGUGGGCGUGGAUGAGUGGCGAACGGGUGAGUAACACGUGAGUAACCUGCCCCCUUCUUCUGGAUAACCGCAUGAAAGUGUGGCUAAUACGGGAUAUUCUGGGUCUGUCGCAUGAUGGGUCUGGGAAAGAUAUUGUUUCGGUGGGGGAUGGGCUCGCGGCCUAUCAGCUUGUUGGUGGGGUGAUGGCCUACCAAGGUGGUGACGGGUAGCCGGCCUGAGAGGGUGGACGGUCACACUGGGACUGAGACACGGCCCAGACUCCUACGGGAGGCAGCAGUGGGGAAUAUUGCACAAUGGGCGCAAGCCUGAUGCAGCGACGCCGCGUGAGGGAUGGAGGCCUUCGGGUUGUGAACCUCUUUCGCCAGUGAAGCAGGCCUGCCUCGUUUGUGGGUGGGUUGACGGUAGCUGGAUAAGAAGCGCCGGCUAACUACGUG
rnacentral:rRNA from 1 species